AACGCACAUUGCGCCCGCUAGUAUUCUGGCGGGCAUGCCUGUUCGAGCGUCAUUUCAACCAUCAAGCCCCUGUGCUUGUGUUGGAGCCCUGCGGCUGCCGCAGGCUCCCAAACCCAGUGGCGGGCUCGUCGUCGUACCGAGUGCAGUAAACAUCCUCGCUCAGGGAACGCGCCGGGACUCCUGCCGUGAAACACCCCCCCCUCAAGGUUGACCUCGGAUCAGGUAGGAAUACCCGCUGAACUUAA
rnacentral:misc_RNA from 1 species